CCUACGGGAGGCAGCAGUGAGGAAUAUUGGUCAAUGGGCGAGAGCCUGAACCAGCCAAGUAGCGUGAAGGAUGACUGCCCUAUGGGUUGUAAACUUCUUUUAUAAAGGAAUAAAGUCGGGUAUGCAUACCCGUUUGCAUGUACUUUAUGAAUAAGGAUCGGCUAACUCCGUGCCAGCAGCCGCGGUAAUACGGAGGAUCCGAGCGUUAUCCGGAUUUAUUGGGUUUAAAGGGAGCGUAGAUGGAUGUUUAAGUCAGUUGUGAAAGUUUGCGGCUCAACCGUAAAAUUGCAGUUGAUACUGGAUAUCUUGAGUGCAGUUGAGGCAGGCGGAAUUCGUGGUGUAGCGGUGAAAUGCUUAGAUAUCACGAAGAACUCCGAUUGCGAAGGCAGCCUGCUAAGCUGCAACUGACAUUGAGGCUCGAAAGUGUGGGUAUCAAACAGGAU
rnacentral:rRNA from 1 species